UACGAAGGGGGCUAGCGUUGUUCGGAUUUACUGGGCGUAAAGCGCACGUAGGCGGAUCUUUAAGUCAGGGGUGAAAUGCCGCGGCUCAACCGCGGAACUGCCUUUGAUACUGGGGAUCUGGAGUCCGGGAGAGGUGAGCGGAACUGCGAGUGUAGAGGUGAAAUUCGUAGAUAUUCGCAAGAACACCAGUGGCGAAGGCGGCUCACUGGCCCGGUACUGACGCUGAGGCAUGAAAGCGUGGGGAGCAAACAGG
rnacentral:rRNA from 1 species